rnacentral:rRNA from 1 species
CCGUACCCGAAACCGACACAGGUGGUCAGGUAGAGCAUACCAAGGCGCUUGAGAGAACUGUGCUGAAGGAACUCGGCAAAUUGCACGCGUAACUUCGGAAGAAG